GACGAACGCUGGCGGCGUGCUUAACACAUGCAAGUCGAACGGAAAGGCCCUGCUUUUGUGGGGUGCUCGAGUGGCGAACGGGUGAGUAACACGUGAGUAACCUGCCCUUGACUUUGGGAUAACUUCAGGAAACUGGGGCUAAUACCGGAUAGGAGCUCCUGCUGCAUGGUGGGGGUUGGAAAGUUUCGGCGGUUGGGGGUGGACUCGCGGCUUAUCAGCUUGUUGGUGGGGUAGUGGCUUACCAAGGCUUUGACGGGUAGCCGGCCUGAGAGGGUGACCGGCCACAUUGGGACUGAGAUACGGCCCAGACUCCUACGGGAGGCAGCAGGGGGGAAUAUUGCACAAUGGGCGGAAGCCUUAUGCAGCAACGCCGCGUGCGGGAUGACGGCCUUCGGGUUGUAAACCGCUUUCGCCUGUGACGAAGCGUGAGUGACGGUAAUGGGUAAAGAAGCACCGGCUAACUACGUG
rnacentral:rRNA from 1 species